rnacentral:lncRNA from 1 species
ACACAAUUCAUUUAUUUACCCAUCUUUGUAAUUAUGCGUUUCAGCUUUGAUGUGAGCAAGGACAAGGUGCAGUGAUGACAGGCAGGUCCAUCACAUCAGAGCCCAGGAACAGAAGUAUCUUCUCUGAGCUGGUGCCUGACAAUUCGAAAUCAAAGGGCAUCUGGUGGAAGAUUACAGUUACAACAGUUUGGGGAAAAGGAAACAAAACCACUGUUCAUCCCUGCAAUGGGAUAUCUUGUGACAAACAUCUUACUCUAACUGGGGUCAAAACAUCUGACCUAUUAACAGAAAAGGAGCAGAUUGAGAGCUUGCCUGUACUGGUGCAGAAGGAUGCCAACCUCAGCAGAAUUUACUUAUUUCCUAAGAGCACAGCAAAGCCUCCUGAAGUUCACCAGGAAUUUUGUAGCACCUGUCUGGCACAAAAUCUGCUGGUCAUCUGAUUUUUCCUGUGGGUAUGUGUGUUAUAACUAAAAGAGAGCAUUAGAGGGGAAAGGCACUGAAACGGGAUGUUUUUUAUUUCAGUAAAUUUAUAAAAUCAGUGAUUUCUGGAGGGAGCUCAGAGCCACAAGCCCAAUCAAGAGAUUCUACACUUUACCAAAGUAGUUUUUUCUGAAAAGUUCUUCUGCAGCAAUCAAAAUGCAUGAAUUUUUUCGCAGAUUGUGGAGCUGAAGGGGUGAAGUUUUGUACUUUGUUUAAGGCCAGCAGUUUGCCUAAUGUAUACUCUGAAGCAGUAGCAGAGUAACGCUCUUUAAUUAUUUUUUUUAAUACCCUACUAAACCAGCAAAAGUAACCUAAUCUAAUUCAAGCACACAGCACACUUGUUCUGGUAUAAAACAUCUUCUGGAGGUUAGUGCAUGUUGUUCAGGAAGAAAUUUAAGUUGUCCAGAGAAGAGGCACUGGAACGAAAGCAUGACCUUCUCUCCAGUUGUUCUGUUCUGUUUUAAAUAAUGUAACUAUAGGCCAGUUUCCCAAGAUACUAGACUGAAAAAGCCUGGUCAACUAGGACAUGGAGCCUUCCUCUUUCCUCUUUUUUCCUUUUUUUCCCUUCCUGAUUGCUUGCAGUAACCCCUGGAGACGUGCCUUCUUUGAA